rnacentral:rRNA from 1 species
GACGAACGCUGGCGGCGUGCUUAACACAUGCAAGUCGAACGGUGAAGCGCCUUCCUUUUUGGUGGGUGUGGAUGAGUGGCGAACGGGUGAGUAACACGUGAGUAACCUGCCCCCUUCUUCUGGAUAACCGCAUGAAAGUGUGGCUAAUACGGGAUAUUCUGGGUCUGUCGCAUGAUGGGUCUGGGAAAGAUAUUGUUUCGGUGGGGGAUGGGCUCGCGGCCUAUCAGCUUGUUGGUGGGGUGAUGGCCUACCAAGGCGGUGACGGGUAGCCGGCGUGAGAGGGUGGACGGUCACACUGGGACUGAGACACGGGCCAGACUCCUACGGGAGGCAGCAGUGGGGAAGAUUGCACAAUGGGCGCAAGCCUGAUGCAGCGACGCCGCGUGAGGGAUGGAGGCCUUCGGGUUGGGAACCUCUUUCGCCAGUGAAGCAGGCCUGCCUCGUUUGUGGGUGGGUUGACGGUAGCUGGAUAAGAAGCGCCGGCUAACUACGU